AUGAACGCUGGCGGCGUGCCUAAUACAUGCAAGUCGAACGAGUUCUCCCUAAAUCUUUUGAUGCUUGCAUUAAAAGAUUUAGGAUUCGGAACGAGUGGCGAACUGGUGAGUAACACGUGGGUAACCUGCCCUGAAGUGGGGGAUAACAUUUGGAAACAAAUGCUAAUACCGCAUAAUUAGUUGAAACCACAUGGUUUCAACUUGAAAGAUGGCUCUGCUAUCACUUUAGGAUGGACCCGCGGCGUAUUAGCUAGUUGGUGAGAUAAUAGCCCACCAAGGCGAUGAUACGUAGCCGACCUGAGAGGGUAAUCGGCCACAUUGGGACUGAGACACGGCCCAGACCCCUACGGGAGGCAGCAGUAGGGAAUCUUCCACAAUGGACGCAAGUCUGAUGGAGCAACGCCGCGUGAGUGAAGAAGGUUUUCGGCUCGUAAAACUCUGUUGUUAAA
rnacentral:rRNA from 1 species